rnacentral:rRNA from 1 species
CAAUAGCGUAUAUUUAAGUUGUUGCAGUUAAAAAGCUCGUAGUUGGAUUUCGGAUGGGACUUGCCGGUCCGUCGUUUCGAUGUGCACUGGCCAGUCCUAUCUUGUUGUCGGGGACUAGCUCCUGGGCUUCACUGUCCGGGACUAGGAGCUGACGAGGUUACUUUGAGUAAAUUAGAGUGUUCAAAGCAAGCCUACGCUCUGAAUACAUUAGCAUGGAAUAACACGAUAGGACUCUGGCUUAUCUUGUUGGUCUGUGAGACCAGAGUAAUGAUUAAGAGGGACAGUCGGGGGCAUUCGUAUUUCCUUGUCAGAGGUGAAAUUCUUGGAUUUAUGAAAGACGAACUUCUGCGAAAGCAUUUGUCAAGGAUGUUUUCAUUAA